GCAUUCUUCCAGAACAGGUGAAUUUGAUCAGAAAUGAUCAUUCACUCUAAUAACUGAACAUCAUAAACUGCUCAUCAGACACCAGUCAUCACUGCGCUUAUAUACUUCGCAGCAGCAGUUGCCAGUCCCAAUACUAGCCACAGUUUUCUGCUUAUUUUGACAUUAUUUCCAAUAUGACCGCAAUCUUCAAGACCAUGUAUUCUAAUGAGGCAAUUUCGAGAACACGACAAAAUAUCUGCAAGAACAGUGACCUAUAGCUGCAAAUAUGCAUCG
rnacentral:misc_RNA from 1 species